rfam:Lodderomyces elongisporus NRRL YB-4239 supercont1.5 genomic scaffold, whole genome shotgun sequence.
GAUGAUGUGGCUGAGUGGUUUAAAGCGUCGGGUGCAGGUUAACAAUCAAAAUUUGAAGCUUUUCCCGAUGGGCAUUGCCCGCGCAGGUUCGAACCCUGUCAUCAUCG